GUACACGCUUCGGCGGUACAUAUACUAAAAUUAGAACGAUACAGGAAACAUUAGCAUGGCCCGUGCGCAAGGAUGGCACGCAAAAUCAUGAAUCAUUCUACUUUUUU